GAGAGUUCACGCCACCUGACAAUUUUGGAUGCCUGAAAAUCAAAAGAAUUACAGAAAACUGAAUAUCAGCUGAUUACCUGAUAUCAUACACAGCCUGAGUUCCUGUGAUACCAAAUAUUCAAAUUACCUGAAGAACUCAGAUACAAAGCUGGUGGUGGCUAACCAUCUUACAAGCAUGGAAUGGCAAGCACAAUGGCAAGUGUUCAUGUUAAAAUCAGCUGAGUGAAGAGGUUAAAGAGAAAACCCUCUAAGGAAAUAUUGUCAACCCAUUUGAUAAGGAAUCAAGGGUCAACACGGUUCAAGUGACAUCCAGGUAAAUUGAUCAGCAACCUUAAUUAUACCUUCAAUCUGAAUGCUCCUUUACAAUAAAGCCUAACAUAUUAUGGGAAUUAAGAUAUGGACAUCGUUGGAAGACCAUAUUCUAGCUAUUACAGGUUCUAGCUGACCAAAAGUUAUAUUGCAAAUAUUCUGGAAGAUGGAAGCAAAGCACAACCAUUACCCUCUAAUGGUCAUCAUCAGUCAGGCUGUGGGAGACAGAUGCAGCUCUGCAGUGUUUCUGUAUUUCUGAUUGAAUCCCAACUGAUACAGUUAUUGGAACCAGAACUCAGUUGCUUCUGCAAUAAAAAGCCGCAGGAAAGAAGGUUCAAGUUAAGUAUUGGCAGAAAUAUCAGCUUUAUCUGUGGUAAUGUGGAAAAUAGAAAGUGUACCCAAGAAAACUCAUUGAUCUGGCUGGGUAAAUAGUAUGUUGACAGUACUAACUGAUUUAUUCUAAACAUAUGUGAUAAAAUAUGAGAAAACAGAGAUAAACUUAUGAAGGAAGUGUUUAGCUGUUUGGCAGAACUUAGGUAUUAAAUGGUCAAGGACAGUUGUUCCACUGAGAUUUAGGCUGUUAAAUGAAGAAAUGGCCUCAGAGUAAUGAUCAAAUUCAGGAACCUUCUAGUAAAACAUCAUCUCAGUUUAAAAGUGGAGUCAAAUGCAGUUUUAACUGUGUAUUGGGACUACAGAUAGACUUAAUGUCAUGCCUUGUAGACAGAAAAACAAAGCUUGUUAACUUGCCCUUUAGACCUUCUCUGCUAGAGGGUGUCUCUGGAUUUUAAGGGUGUUAUACCACAGCACCCUAAGCCUCAGGUCGAGAUAGAGAAUGAACUGUUGUAAAGACAUCUGUGUGUAUGCUUUUGCCUAAUCAUGUAACCAUCAAUAAUAUUCUGAGAAACCCACAAUGUUUUUAAGACAUUUGCAUUGGUAGAAGCACUAACAAAUUGCAUUAAAUAAGAGAGGAUCAGUUCAAAGCAAAAAUAUCAUAGGCUUUCAAAUUUCUAUGGGAAGAAAGCAGGCUGAGACAGUUAAUCACCUACAAACAUGAGCCAUUCUCUGUAGAAAAGGAAGAAAGUCUCAGAGUGCAGAGCCGCCUGGCUGGAGAGUGGAGUUAAGAACCACAGGGAACCACUCCCAGGGAGCACAGCUGGGCCCUAAUCAAGGAACUGGAAUUGUUGCACUGGCUGGAUCAGAACUGCUAUGAACUAGUAAGUACUACUCAUUCCUCAUUCCUCCUUUUUAAAUGGAAACGUUCACUGUAGUUAUCCUGAUACCACACCUACCCCAAGACCAUCUUGCUGCAAGGAAGCCCAAUGUCUACAUGGACAGGCUGAGUGGAAAGACAGAGGUGACACAGAAACCCAGCUGGGCCGGGCUCCCAGCCCACGUGCCAGUGUCUGUUGCACCAAUAUGGAGAACAACCAAGGAAUUCAACUGACAGGGACAACCAAGGACUCCUGAAAACCCUCAUCCCAGUCAGCUCCAGCUGUUUGCAUCACCCCAGCUGAGGUGCCAGCAUCAUGUGGAAGAGAUGACCUAUAUUUGCAGUGCCCUGUCUGAAUUUAUGACCCACCAAAUCAGGAAUACAAUAAAAUGGUUGUUGCUUUAUUCCACCAAGUUUUGGGAUGGA
rnacentral:lncRNA from 1 species